UCAAUGCAGCGUUUAUUUCCAUCAAUAUUUACAAUUAGAAUCCAAUAACGAUAAAGAAUCUGACUGAUUCAGCUUUGAACUAAUGCUUGUUAGUUUCGCAUUUGUACUAGCAACGAAAGGAAAAUGUGUGAUUAAUCAGUAAAAUGAAUUUCAUUUUGAUUAGACAUCGACUGUGAAAUAAGAAAUAGUGUUUUACUUCUGCGGGAAUCGUAAAAAAUAAUUACACUUAAACAAAUUUAAAUCGGAGGAAAUGUCAAUAUUUGCAAAUGGACAUGAAAUAAAGGGAAAGAGUUAACGUUGAGUGCAUUCUAACAACAUAUUGUAUGGUUUCCUAAAUAAGACGGUAAUGAACGUCAAGAUAUUUUUAGAGUCUUUAUGAAUCAAUAACGAGGGAUGAUACAUUAUUGCUAAUACAACACAUCUAAGGAGAAAAGACCGGAUCAAUUAGAACUUCUAGAAUAAUACCUUGAGAACAAUGUAGCUGAACUAGGGCAGAUCUUUCACUGUUUUUGAACAGUACUUAUAACGAAUGACUGUGGAAUAAUGCAUCCAUCAUGAAACGGGU